UCCUUCCGCGACAUUUCUCACUGCUCCUCCUCCUUUCCUCCAUACUGCCGCUCUGACGGCUCACGCGCAGGCGACGAGCGCGUCCCAUCUCCACCACUAUUUUGUCGCCGUCGUCGCGCCGCGGUGCUGCUGCCCUUCGCUCAGCGCCGCUGUGCCUGCGCCCCGAGGCUGCCUGGCUUCGCUGCUCGCCGACCGCAGAUGGUCCAGCGAGGCGAACGCGCGCGGCCGGCCCGGUUUCGCCGCUCCUCGCCCACGGCUGGUCCGGCGCCGCCGCUCCCUACCCGCGGCCUGCCUUGCACCACGGCUCGUCGCUCCCGACCGGCCAGCGGCGACUGUUGAUCCCCGCCCGUGGCUUCGCUGCUCCUCGCCCAUGGCCAGUCCGGCGCCGCUGCUUCACGCCCGUGGCCAGCCCUGCGCUUUAGCUCCUCGCUCGCAUCUGUCCAGGUGGCAGCCGUCGCUCCCCGCCCGCGGCUCGGCGCUUCUCGCCCAUGGCUGGUCCGGCGCCGCCGGUGCCUACCCUGUGCCCUAACUCCUCGCUCGCGGCCGGCCAGGCGACGGCCAUAGCUCCCCACCCGCUGCCACGACCGUGGAGCUCCCCUGCCGUUGUGAUGUUGACCGUGAAGCUCGCUUCCGGCGUUAGAUUUUCGGCCGUCGAUGCUUGCGGUGUACCUUUUUACUCCGGCCAAGCCACAGCUCGGCUCCGCGGCCGCUUCGCAGUGCAGACCCCGGAAAGCCUGCUGCGUCCCUCCCUACCGAGUCGCUGUACCGCUACCUCUCCCCAUCCUUACCGCUGCCUCUCCCCAUCCUGGCCGCGCUCGUCCAGGCCCUUCCUGCAUGCGCCGCCUGCCAAAGAAAUCGAUGGAAGGAGACGGGAAUCCAUUUCGCUUCUACUUGGAGUACCUCGGUCCAGUAGCGCUGCUCCACGCCAACAGGUAUAUCGAUCACUAAUCCCUUGAUAGUGUGGUUUUAGAUAAAUCUAUUCUCUGAUAAAAUUUGUGGGCAUACGUAAGGUUCUAAGCCUACACCUUUUUUUUUCCUAAACAUUCCUACCUAUCUGUUGCACAGCGAAUGGAAGAGCAGCCAAUCCAAGUCUUUACAAGAUCUAUCUAUGCAAUUCUUUAGUUUUAUUUUCAGUUGAGUAUGAAAUCGCUUAUUGCAUAUGCUCAUGAAACAUACUCUGAAGAAGCUGCAUAUCAUGUGUUCGGUGGAAUGCCUAUGAGAGAUGUUCAGGCCCUGCUAUUGUUUUACAAACCUGCAUUUCGUCGGCAAACGCAGCUGCAAGCUCUGCAGGAAACAUGUAUAUUUUUAUUUCGGUUUGCAAAUCUAUACUUGGAUUUCCUGGGAAUUAUUACUUGCUUAAAUGUUCGUCUCUAUCAGUAGAUGAUACCGGAGAUGUAUAUUCUGUUGUUAAAUUUCACUGACAGGAAAAACCAUCUAAGUGGAUGUUUGAUCAGAACAGCAAAGGUAAAGUUGUAAAAGCCAUCAAAGUGGACGUUUGAUCAGAAUAGCAACACGAAAAAGCCAUUUAUUAUUAUUUUGGUUCCCUAGAAGGACCAAUAAUGAUCUCCCUCAUGUUAUGCAAGAUGGUUUCCUAAUUGGGGAUUGAAGAGGAUGGAAUUGGUUCUUCUUUAGAAGGCACAAACAAUGAUGUUGCAAGUACUGCAGCCUAUGGGUAGCUAAAUGCCCCUUCAUAAAUAAUAACAUCAUCUCAUCAACUCAGCAUAAUGAAGAGUAUUUAUCAGGUUUUUCGUUGAUAUGGACUAUCGAAAUAUAACUAGCUGAUUGGAAUCUUGUUAAGUUGGCGAAAUUUGUCCUUCAUAUCACAGAUGGUCAAGCAGAUAAGUUUUCCCCCUCCCAUCUUUUCAUUGCAUUUAAAGCAGGCUGAUAUGAUCUGAUCUAAAACUAAAAGGCACUGCAACAACCUUUUUUCUAAAAAUGGUUGCAGCUGUUAUUGAUAUUAUACUUAGAUUGAAAAAUGAACUACCCUAUAUUAUAAGCCACAUAUAUUCUUUACCAUACAUAUGCAAGACUAUUGUUCAGUGGAGGAAAUGCCCUGUCAGCUCAGCAUUUUUAUGGACACCAUAUGACCAAUAUUCCUUCUCAUAUAUGUGAAUGACCAAUAUUCCUUCUCAGCAUUUUGAUUACUACAUGCAUUGGAAUUGAUGCACUGCUUUGCAAAUUCCUGUCUGCUAAUUCAUUUUUCCAUCCCACUAUCGUUAGUCUAUUCUUCAGUUCCCAUUCAUUUUAUUUUUGCCUCUUGUGUGAGAUGUGUUCUGCAAACUGAUGUCGUCUUUCAUAGGCAAGUUUAGUGUAUUCUUUAGAACUGGCAUAGAUCCUAGAUAUUUUUAAAUGUACGAUAUUACAACAAUUAUUUCAUUAUUUGACUUACAAUAAGCACUCAAUAUUACAACAUUGAAACGAUUUUGAUACUAUCUCUUUAUUUACUUGAGUCGCGCUACCAAUGAUACAUCCAUGAAAAUCACUAUGUGACUCACACAAUAACUGAUGUCAUUGUAUUUUAAUUCACAGAACUGAAGCACCUCAAUUAACAGACUAUAAACAAAUUUAGAUUUAGUUGCAUUCCUAAAUGUGAUUUUCUGUGUCAAAAUGUUUUGGCACCUUUUGGAUUUAUUCACAUACUUCGGUGCGUCACUUAGUUGCUUUAUCAUAAUUUGCAUAUCUGCUGCCCACUGCAGGUAGCUUAAAUACAACUUAUAUUUUAUAUUUUAAUUAAGCCAUAGCAGCUUCAGUCCUGACACCAUGUGAACGCAUGCAGCAGAUGCCUUGAUGCACGAGCAGGCCAUCUGAAUAGCAGGCCAUGAAAGAAGACAGGGACGUACAGAUUUCAUCAGGUUCGUGCGCAAGCAGGGAGCGAGCAGUUACG